UGGGGGUCCACUCCAGACCCUAUUUUCCUGGGUCCCUCCUGGACCUGAAGGUGUCAACAGUGGAGGCUGCAGAAGAGCAAAGAUGGCUGCCUGCUCCUUUCUCUGGGAGCUCUGUCCCAGAGGGGCACCAACUUAAUACUAGCAGGAAUGCUCUUGCAUAAGGUGUCUGGCAACCUCUGUUGAGAAGUCUCACCCAGUCAGGAGGUACAGGAUCAGAGACCUGUUUAACAAAGCACUCUGGCUGCCCCCUUAGCGGAGAUGGUGCACUGUGCUGUGGGGAAGCCCACUCAUCUGGACUGCCUGGAUUUCUCAGAGCCAGCUGGCAGAAAGACUGAGUCAGCUGAUCCAGAGACCGUGACCAUCCCUCUCCACAUGAGGCUUCGUCCCAGGAAGAUUAGAGUUUUGUCCAUAAACACCUGGCUGGAGUUGCUGAAAUUCCCGCAGGGAGGCCCCACCUAGUGAGGAGGGAUAGGUCAGGGGUCCGGCCUAAAGAGGCAGUCUGGCCACAAUCGACCACAACCACUGUGCUGCACUGUGGAAAAUUCCUCAUGGAUCCAAAUUGCAGACUAGAGCUGCAGUGGUGACUGCUGCCCCUCCCCCAAGCAGCUCAGUCAUCUUAGGCCAAAGGCAGCCGUAGGGAUGAUGGCUCCCCGCCUCCCCCAACCCGGAACUCAGUAGCUCAGUAGUCUUCAGCAGUCUCCAGCUGAGUGGUCACUGAGAAUCUGUACAGCUCUGUGCUUGGGACCCAAGGCCCUGGUGGCAUGGGCUCACAAGGGGGACCUUCUGAUCUGCAGCUUGCACAGAUCCAUGGAAAAAGUGUGGUUUUCUGUGAUAAAAUAUUUUAAAUGGUCCAUUUGCAAGGCAUGAUAAAUCUAAGUAUGGCAGCCAGUCUGCAAAUGUGACAAACUGCAUGGCUCAUGCACCUAGAAGGUCACAAUAAGCGAACAGAAUGUAGAGGAGGGUCAACCCAUAAGAGAGAAGAAAGUUCCCUUUCCCCUGACUGGCAGCGCGAGGCCGCAUGAUGCCUGCAGUUACUGUAAAAGACAUGAACCAGCAGGAGUUCGUCAGAGCUCUGGCAACCUUCCUCAAAAAGUCCAGGAAGCUGAAAGUCCCCGAAUGGGUGGACACCGUCAAGCUAGCCAAGCACAAAGAGCUUGCUCCCCAUGAUGAGAACUGGUUCUACACACGAGCUGCUUCCACAGCGCGGCACCUCUACCUCCGGGGUGGCGCUGGGGUUGGCUCCAUGACCAAGAUCUAUGGGGGACGUCAGAGAAACGGCGUCACGCCCAGCCACGUCAGCCAAGGCUCCAAGAGUGUGGCUCGCCGAGUCCUCCAAGCCCUGGAGGGGCUGAAAAUGGUGGAAAAGGACCAAGAUGGGGGCCGCAAACUGACACCUCAGGGACAGAGAGAUCUGGACAGAAUUGCCGGGCAGGUGGCAGCUGCCAACAAGAAGCAUUAGAACAAACCAUGCUGGGUUAAUAAAUUGCCUCAUUCGUUAAAAAAAAAAAAAAAAAGAAAA